rnacentral:rRNA from 1 species
CCUACGGGGGGCAGCAGUAGGGAAUAUUGCUCAAUGGGGGAAACCCUGAAGCAGCAACGCCGCGUGGAGGAUGAAGGUUUUCGGAUUGUAAACUCCUUUUGUUAGAGAAGAUAAUGACGGUAUCUAACGAAUAAGCACCGGCUAACUCCGUGCCAGCAGCCGCGGUAAUACGGAGGGUGCAAGCGUUACUCGGAAUCACUGGGCGUAAAGAGCGCGUAGGCGGGAUAGUAAGUCAGAUGUGAAAUCCUAUGGCUUAACCAUAGAACUGCAUUUGAAACUGUUAUUCUAGAGUGUGGGAGAGGUAGGUGGAAUUCUUGGUGUAGGGGUAAAAUCCGUAGAGAUCAAGAGGAAUACUCAUUGCGAAGGCGACCUGCUAGAACAUAACUGACGCUGAUGCGCGAAAGCGUGGGGAGCAAACAGGAUUAGAUACCCCGGUAGUC